UAAACACUUCCGUUACGUGUUUUGACCUAAACAUGUAUAAGAUUGUGUUUAACGGCUAAACAUUUAGGUCUAAACGUGUGUUAGAUUGUGUUUAACUGCUAAACACUUGUGUCUAAACGUGUGUUUUAUCUAAAUGAUGUUAAGAUUUAACACAUGUUUAGAUAGAAGUGUUUAGAAAUUGAACACUUUUCUGUGAAGUGCAGAGUUAUCUUCCCGGAAAUGACGCAUAUAUAUUCGAAUGAUAAAUAGAGCGGUUAUCGAAACAAAGGAAAUCCCAAUGUUAGCUAAAGAAGAUGGAUUAAAGGAAGUGAAUGCUAAUCAAAGUGAUAACCAUGAAGAGAUUGUGAAAUGCAUUUAAACUGCAACAUUACUGCGAUAAAAGGAUAUGGUCCACAUCGAACUUGAAAGCAAAAAUACACGUAUCAGAGAAACUGUU